rnacentral:rRNA from 1 species
CGUGUAGGCGGCUGGAUAAGUCAGAUGUGAAAGCCCUGGGCUUAACCCAGGAAGUGCAUUUGAAACUGUUCAGCUUGAGUAAGGGAGAGGAAAGUGGAAUUCCUGGUGUAGAGGUGAAAUUCGUAGAUAUCAGGAGGAACACCGGUGGCGAAGGCGACUUUCUGGCCCUGUACUGACGCUGAGACGCGAGAGCGUGGGUAGCAAACA